GAGCAUGGCAGACCACCAUUUCCCUCUGAAGCUGUAGGGAUUGAUGGUGCCUUAAAAACAUGCAAGAGUAACAUUUUGGAGUUAACAGGGCCUCCGGUCUUUAAGAAAUGAUCGAUUGGUAGUAUCAGACUCCAACAGAG